rnacentral:rRNA from 1 species
AUGCUUGCACAAUUAAUUAAAAGUUUAAAACACACCAGCUUAACGGACGGUCACUCACACUACGUUACAUGGAUAGAACAUCUCUCACAUGUCGGCGGCGAUCCCCUCGUCGCCGGUGGCGGCGGUCUCGAUGUCCUGGACACGCCUGUUGGGGGCGGCGCAGUUGUUCCGGAUCUCGCCCUUGUUGCCGGUGAGCAGGUCCAUGUUGCUCAUCUUGGUCAUGGACCUGGCGAACUGCUCGAAGAAGGCGCCCUGGUUGAGGGAGAAGCGGGUGGCCAUGCGCUUGGUGGUGGGGUGGUCGAUGAGGCCCUGGUCCGACUUGAACAGCCCCUGCCUUGCGAUCAGGUCGAAGUAGUACUUGUUGUCGAACACGUCCGGCGUGCGCACGUCGAGGUUCUGCGUGAGGGUGCCGGCGGGGUUGUCCCCGGCGCACUUGUUCCGGAGAGAGGUCGCGAACUUGGAGUCGAUGGCCGGGUUGGUGUCGAACACUGGCUUGAAGCGGUCCUCGAAGGCCGGGCAGUGGGCGACGCCGAAGGUGUGCGCGCCGGAGAGGGACACCAGGUCGGCCACGUCCAGGCUGCGGUUGCCGAAGGAGGAGAUGAGGGUCGGCACGUCGAAGAAGGGCGCCGGCAGGAGGCCGACGAGCGCGGACGACGCCGGGGCGAGCCCGUCGCGGCGGCCCAGGGCGACGUCGAAGCGGGGGCCACCGGCCUUGACGAGGGAGUCGCGGGUGGCGAGCACGGUGAUGUCGGCGCAGGAGACGGUCGGCCCGCAGGCGCUGUGCACGGCGGCGCGGAUGCGCUCGAUGAGGUCGAGCGCCACGGGGCGGAGCGUCUGGUUGGGGACCUCGUUCAGCUCGCUGCCGGCGCCCUUGAGCAGCACGGACGCGUCGCAGCCCUGCGGGAAGCAGUCGUGGAAGAGAAUGCGGAUGAGGGCCGGCGCCACGCCGACGUCGCGCCGGAACGUCUCGGCGACGUGGAACUCCACGAUGUGCUCCAGGUCCGGGCACGUCGCGGCGUGGAAGUUCGGCGACAGCUGGCCCUCCGACGAGUGGACGGCCGCGCAGACCAAGGCCAGGACGGCGACGGCCGCUGCUGCUCUGGACGCCAUCGCUGA